AUGAGUCAAGUUCAAUAUCUCACCACCGUGGAAAAGGAGUUUCCGAGCAAGAACGAGCAGUAUCACUGGGAAGCCGAUGCUUGGGCCAUCCUUGGAGAUCCCUGCUGGGCCAGCCAACUGUUCCCUGCUUCCACGUCCAUGCCAACAUUGCAAGGCUAUGUCACGGACUGGAGCAGCUACAGUGAUGACACACCUGAGGUGAACACAACCCUGGCAGCAUCCUGGCCCCUCAUGGGGCACGUGCACGUGGAAUCUGGAAACUUCACAGCUGAGCCUACAAAGGUACUCAUGGUGCUCAGAAGGGUUUCUGGAUCCAGUGGGAGGAAGUCAUUGCAAGCAGCUUGUGAACAUUCACAGAAGCAGCUCAGGAUCAUCCUGCUGCUUCUGAGAGCAGGUGUCGGGCCCCAGGCUGGAGGCCACGUGCCAGGCUGGCAGGAUUUGCCCAGAUCCCCCUGCCUCAGGCUGCCCUCUGCACCCUCCGAAUUCCCAGCCGCUGCUCUGGGGCCCACACGGAGGGCUUGGGCCCAGCACCUGGAAGCUCCAAAGAGGCAAACGGGGUCAUGUCCAGGUUUUGUCAGAUCACCUCUGAGGCUGCCCUCUUCGCCGUGGCUUCUGAGUGCAGAGCUGGGCAUCUGAGUGGACAGAGUGGUGCUCGGCUUCCUUGCAUCUCCUGGGCCAUGCGCAGUGACCUGUGCCCACUGCAUCACUCCUGUGUGCCCUGCGCAUGCGACCGUGUCUUUCCCGUGUAUUCAGUGCUGCUUCGCGUCUUCCAGUUCCACUUUGUGGUUUGUGAGUGA